rnacentral:rRNA from 1 species
GCAGUCGCCGCGGGAAUACGGAGGAUCCAAGCGUUAUCCGGAAUCAUUGGGUUUAAAGGGUCCGUAGGCGGUCUUGUAAGUCAGUGGUGAAAGCCCAUCGCUCAACGGUGGAACGGCCAUUGAUACUGCAGGACUUGAAUUAUUGGGAAGUAACUAGAAUAUGUAGUGUAGCGGUGAAAUGCUUAGAGAUUACAUGGAAUACCAAUUGCGAAGGCAGGUUACUACCAAUUGAUUGACGCUGAUGGACGAAAGCGUGGGUAGCGAACAGGAUUAGAUACCCGCGUAGUCCCUGUCUCUUAUAA